rnacentral:rRNA from 1 species
CGUGAGAUGUUGGGUUAAGUCCCGCAACGAGCGCAACCCUCGUCCUUAGUUGCCAUCAUUCAGUUGGGCACUCUAAGGAGACUGCCGGUGAUAAGCCGCGAGGAAGGUGGGGAUGACGUCAAGUCCUCAUGGCCCUUACGGGCUGGGCUACACACGUGCUACAAUGGCGGUGACAAUGGGAUGCAAAGGGGCGACCCUUAGCAAAUCUCAAAAAGCCGUCUCAGUUCGGAUUGGGCUCUGCAACUCGAGCCCA